CCACCCCAUGAGCCAGGCCUGAUGUUGGUGUCUACAGGCGAGUAUUGGGGUGACCGGGUCAUACAUCUAUCCUGAAAUGGUGAAAAUAUUUCUCUUUCUGAUCAUCUCUGUAUGAACAAACCCCCAUUGUUGUCAAAUUGCAUAAAAAUAACUUUUGUCAUGAACGUGCGAAUAUGCUUCAUGAGUCACACCUAGUUACACCUACCACACCUUAUAAAAGCAGUUUCCCUUGUGAAUAAAUUAUCUUCCAGAGAGACAGAGCCGGCUGUCAUUAAGGAUAUUGCUGAGAGAGAGAUUAUUGUUUGAGAUCAGAUGGUUAUGACGUUGAAGAAUAAAAUAAGGUUUGCCUUUUUAAAAAAUAAUGGCACCAGUAACACUACUGCCUUCACAAUAUUAUGGCUAUGGCUGCUGCUUAGUGGGAUUGGAGGCCAAAGUACAACACCAUUUACAACAGAAACCACAGAAGGGACAACUGAAUUCAC